AAAAAAGUUGUCUUAUGCCGUGCUUGGCACUUUGCGGCCUCCUUUUAGGGAGUUGUGGUGCAGAAUCAAUAUCAAGAGAUUUCGGAAACAUAAUUUUUGUUACGGGGGAUGCUUGUGAUCAUUAUUUCAGGCUCCCCA